rnacentral:rRNA from 1 species
AGAGUUUGAUCCUGGCUCAGGAUGAACGCUGGCGGCGUGCCUAAUACAUGCAAGUCGAGCGAACGGACGAGAAGCUUGCUUCUCUGAUGUUAGCGGCGGACGGGUGAGUAACACGUGGAUAACCUACCUAUAAGACUGGGAUAACUUCGGGAAACCGGAGCUAAUACCGGAUAAUAUUUUGAACCGCAUGGUUCAAAAGUGAAAGACGGUCUUGCUGUCACUUAUAGAUGGAUCCGCGCUGCAUUAGCUAGUUGGUAAGGUAACGGCUUACCAAGGCAACGAUGCAUAGCCGACCUGAGAGGGUGAUCGGCCACACUGGAACUGAGACACGGUCCAGACUCCUACGGGAGGCAGCAGUAGGGAAUCUUCCGCAAUGGGCGAAAGCCUGACGGAGCAACGCCGCGUGAGUGAUGAAGGUCUUCGGAUCGUAAAACUCUGUUAUUAGGGAAGAACAUAUGUGUAAGUAACUGUGCACAUCUUGACGGUACCUAAUCAGAAAGCCACGGCUAACUACGUGCCAGCAGCCGCGGUAAUACGUAGGUGGCAAGCGUUAUCCGGAAUUAUUGGGCGUAAAGCGCGCGUAGGCGGUUUUUUAAGUCUGAUGUGAAAGCCCACGGCUCAACCGUGGAGGGUCAUUGGAAACUGGAAAACUUGAGUGCAGAAGAGGAAAGUGGAAUUCCAUGUGUAGCGGUGAAAUGCGCAGAGAUAUGGAGGAACACCAGUGGCGAAGGCGACUUUCUGGUCUGUAACUGACGCUGAUGUGCGAAAGCGUGGGGAUCAAACAGGAUUAGAUACCCUGGUAGUCCACGCCGUAAACGAUGAGUGCUAAGUGUUAGGGGGUUUCCGCCCCUUAGUGCUGCAGCUAACGCAUUAAGCACUCCGCCUGGGGAGUACGACCGCAAGGUUGAAACUCAAAGGAAUUGACGGGGACCCGCACAAGCGGUGGAGCAUGUGGUUUAAUUCGAAGCAACGCGAAGAACCUUACCAAAUCUUGACAUCCUUUGACAACUCUAGAGAUAGAGCUUUCCCCUUCGGGGGACAAAGUGACAGGUGGUGCAUGGUUGUCGUCAGCUCGUGUCGUGAGAUGUUGGGUUAAGUCCCGCAACGAGCGCAACCCUUAAGCUUAGUUGCCAUCAUUAAGUUGGGCACUCUAAGUUGACUGCCGGUGACAAACCGGAGGAAGGUGGGGAUGACGUCAAAUCAUCAUGCCCCUUAUGAUUUGGGCUACACACGUGCUACAAUGGACAAUACAAAGGGCAGCGAAACCGCGAGGUCAAGCAAAUCCCAUAAAGUUGUUCUCAGUUCGGAUUGUAGUCUGCAACUCGACUACAUGAAGCUGGAAUCGCUAGUAAUCGUAGAUCAGCAUGCUACGGUGAAUACGUUCCCGGGUCUUGUACACACCGCCCGUCACACCACGAGAGUUUG